GUGCUCACUUCGGCAGCACAUAGACUAAAACUGGAACGAUAUAGAGAAGAUGAGCAUUUCACCUGUGCAAGGAUGACAUGCAAAUUUGUGAAAUGUUCCAUAUUUUU